rnacentral:misc_RNA from 3 species
ACACCUCAACUCUCAUGGUUUGCCAUGAUGAGUUGGACUCUGGGGGUUUUGCUGGCCUGUGGUCGGCUCCUCUCAAAUUAAUCAGCCUCCCAGUGUUUGGUGGCAUCACGGGUGUGAUAAAUAUCUACGCUCGCUGUUGUCUGCCAGGUAACCUUUGGUCACAAAGGUUUGCUGGAGCUCACAGAUGUCUCUCCUCAGCGAGGACAGCUUUUUUAAC